rnacentral:rRNA from 1 species
GAUGAACGCUGGCGGCGUGCCUAAUACAUGCAAGUCGAGCGAACGGACGAGAAGCUUGCUUCUCUGAUGUUAGCGGCGGACGGGUGAGUAACACGUGGAUAACCUACCUAUAAGACUGGGAUAACUUCGGGAAACCGGAGCUAAUACCGGAUAAUAUUUUGAACCGCAUGGCUCAAAAGUGAAAGACGGUCUUGCUGUCACUUAUAGAUGGAUCCGCGCUGCAUUAGCUAGUUGGUAAGGUAACGGCUUACCAAGGCAACGAUGCAUAGCCGACCUGAGAGGGUGAUCGGCCACACUGGAACUGAGACACGGUCCAGACUCCUACGGGAGGCAGCAGUAGGGAAUCUUCCGCAAUGGGCGAAAGCCUGACGGAGCAACGCCGCGUGAGUGAUGAAGGUCUUCGGAUCGUAAAACUCUGUUAUUAGGGAAGAACAUAUGUGUAAGUAACUGUGCACAUCUUGACGGUACCUAAUCAGAAAGCCACGGCUAACUACGUGCCAGCAGCCGCGGUAAUACGUAGGUGGCAAGCGUUAUCCGGAAUUAUUGGGCGUAAAGCGCGCGUAGGCGGUUUUUUAAGUCUGAUGUGAAAGCCCACGGCUCAACCGUGGAGGGUCAUUGGAAACUGGAAAACUUGAGUGCAGAAGAGGAAAGUGGAAUUCCGUGUGUAGCGGUGAAAUGCGCAGAGAUAUGGAGGAACACCAGUGGCGAAGGCGACUUUCUGGUCUGUAACUGACGCUGAUGUGCGAAAGCGUGGGGAUCAAACAGGAUUAGAUACCCUGGUAGUCCACGCCGUAAACGAUGAGUGCUAAGUGUUAGGGGGUUUCCGCCCCUUAGUGCUGCAGCUAACGCAUUAAGCACUCCGCCUGGGGAGUACGACCGCAAGGUUGAAACUCAAAGGAAUUGACGGGGACCCGCACAAGCGGUGGAGCAUGUGGUUUAAUUCGAAGCAACGCGAAGAACCUUACCAAAUCUUGACAUCCUUUGACAACUCUAGAGAUAGAGCCUUCCCCUUCGGGGGACAAAGUGACAGGUGGUGCAUGGUUGUCGUCAGCUCGUGUCGUGAGAUGUUGGGUUAAGUCCCGCAACGAGCGCAACCCUUAAGCUUAGUUGCCAUCAUUAAGUUGGGCACUCUAAGUUGACUGCCGGUGACAAACCGGAGGAAGGUGGGGAUGACGUCAAAUCAUCAUGCCCCUUAUGAUUUGGGCUACACACGUGCUACAAUGGACAAUACAAAGGGCAGCGAAACCGCGAGGUCAAGCAAAUCCCAUAAAGUUGUUCUCAGUUCGGAUUGUAGUCUGCAACUCGACUACAUGAAGCUGGAAUCGCUAGUAAUCGUAGAUCAGCAUGCUACGGUGAAUACGUUCCCGGGUCU